CUUAACGGUUAGUACCGAGUUCCUAAAUUCGAAGCCUAGUUGCUUCACAUUUCCAGUUAAGUUUAUUUCUAAAAAGAAAUAAAUGAAGCGGGUAACAUGCUAUAUACUUUUCUCUCAAAAAAAUAAAAAUUAUUUUCCAAUCUAAUCAUUAAAAAUUUUGAUAUUCCUAUCUAACUUUUUAAUUUAUUUGAUUUAAGCC
rnacentral:lncRNA from 1 species